rnacentral:rRNA from 1 species
CCUGCCCAUUGAUGUUUUAAAAGGCCGCAGUAUAUUAACUGUGCAAAGGUAGCAUAAUCAUUAGUUUUUUAAUUGAAGGCUUGUAUGAAGGGUUGGACAAAGAAUAAUCUGUUUUUAAUUUUGUUUUUGAAUUUAACUUUUAAGUGAAAAGGCUUAAAUGAAUUUGAGGGACGAUAAGACCCUAUAAAUCUUUAUAUUAAGUUGUUUUUUAUUAAUUAAUAUUGUAGAUGAAGUAAUAAAAUUAUAUAUAUUGUGUUGGGGCGAUGAGAAUAUAAAUAAAUAACUGUUCUAGUGUAGAAAAACAAAAUUAUUUGGAUAUUGGUAGAUCCUUUAGUUAAGAUUAAAAGUUUAAGUUACUUUAGGGAUAACAGCGUUAUUUUUUUUGAGAGUUCUUAUCGAAAAAAAAGUUUGCGACCUCGAUGUUGAAUUAAAAUUUCUUUGUGGUGUAGUAGCUAUGUGAAGAGAGUCUGUUCGACUUUUAAAGGAGCUUGAGCC